GAGUUUGAUCAUGGCUCAGAUUGAACGCUGGCGGCAGGCCUAACACAUGCAAGUCGAGCGGAAACGAUCCUAGCUUGCUAGGAGGCGUCGAGCGGCGGACGGGUGAGUAAUGCAUAGGAAUCUGCCCGGUAGUGGGGGAUAACUUGAGGAAACUCAAGCUAAUACCGCAUACGCCCUACGGGGGAAAGCAGGGGCUCUUCGGACCUUGCGCUAUCGGAUGAGCUUAUGUCGGAUUAGCUAGUUGGUGAGGUAAUGGCUCACCAAGGCGACGAUCCGUAGCUGGUCUGAGAGGAUGAUCAGCCACAUCGGGACUGAGACACGGCCCGAACUCCUACGGGAGGCAGCAGUGGGGAAUAUUGGACAAUGGGGGCAACCCUGAUCCAGCCAUGCCGCGUGUGUGAAGAAGGCCCUCGGGUUGUAAAGCACUUUCAGCGAGGAAGAAUGCUUGUCGGUUAAUACCCGGCAAGGGAGACAUCACUCGCAGAAGAAGCACCGGCUAACUCCGUGCCAGCAGCCGCGGUAAUACGGAGGGUGCGAGCGUUAAUCGGAAUUACUGGGCGUAA
rnacentral:rRNA from 1 species